rnacentral:misc_RNA from 1 species
GAUGAAGAACGUAGCGAAAUGCGAUAAGUAAUGUGAAUUGCAGAAUUCAGUGAAUCAUCGAAUCUUUGAACGCACCUUGCGCUCCUUGGUAUUCCGAGGAGCAUGCCUGUUUGAGUGUCAUUAAAUUCUCAACCUCACCAGUUUUGUAACGAGACAGGUGAAGGCUUGGAUGUGGGGGUUUUGCAGGCUGCCUCAGUGCUGGUCUGCUCUCCUGAAAUGCAUUAGCGAGCUCAUAUUGAGCUUCCGUCUAUUGGUGUGAUAAUUAUCUACGCCGUGGAUUGGACUCAUGCUUGCUUCUAGCCGUCCGCAAGGACAAUUUACUUGACCAAUUUGACCUCAAAUCAGGUAGGACUACCCGCUGAACUUAAGCAUAUCAAUAAGCGGAGGA